AAGUGUUAAGUCUUUAAUUUUGAAUCCUUAGCUUACUUUGUAAGUUAAGGCUAGAUUUACACAAAAAUUAAAGAUUAAAUUAGUAUUGAAUGAAACUUUGUUUAUAUAUCGAUAAUGACGAUAUAUAUAUUAUGUCUUGACCAAUUACGUGCCAGCAGUCGCGGUAAUACGUAAGAGACUAGUGUUAUUCAUCUUAAUUAGGUUUAAAGGGUACUCAAACGGUCUGUUCGCAUAAAAAGACUAGAGUUAUAUAGAAGAAGGUAGUACCUUAAGUGUAGAGAUUAUAUUUGGUCAUACUCGAGGGACUUAGAAAAGGCGUAGGCAACCUUCUAAGCAAUAACUGACGUUGAAGGACGAAGGCAUAGGUCACGAACAGGAUUAGAUACCCAAGUAGUCUUUGCAGUCAAUGAUGAAUGCCAUAGGUUAGAUAAAAAUUUAGUCUAUAAAUGAAAGUGUAAGCAUUUCACCUCAAGAGUAAUGUGGCAACGCAGGAACUGAAAU
rnacentral:rRNA from 1 species